UACGAAGGGGGCUAGCGUUGUUCGGAAUUACUGGGCGUAAAGCGAACGUAGGCGGUGUUCCAUGUCAGAGGUGAAAGCCUGGGGCUCAACUCCAGAAUUGCCUUUGAAACGGGAACGCUUGAGUCCGAGAGAGGGUGGCGGAAUUCCUAGUGUAGAGGUGAAAUUCGUAGAUAUUAGGAAGAACACCAGUGGCGAAGGCGGCCACCUGGCUCGGUACGUGACGCUCAGGUUCGAAAGCGUGGGGAGCAAACAGGG
rnacentral:rRNA from 1 species